rnacentral:rRNA from 1 species
UAGGGAAUCUUCCGCAAUGGGCGAAAGCCUGACGGAGCAACGCCGCGUGAGUGAUGAAGGCCUUCGGAUCGUAAAACUCUGUUAUUAGGGAAGAACAAAUGUGUAAGUAACUAUGCACGUCCUGACGGUACCUAAUCAGAAAGCCACGGCUAACUACGUGCCAGCAGCCGCGGUAAUACGUAGGUGGCAAGCGUUAUCCGGAAUUAUUGGGCGUAAAGCGCGAGUAGGCGGUUUUUUAAGUCUGAUGUGAAAGCCCACGGCUCAACCGUGGAGGGUCAUUGGAAACUGGAAAACUUGAGUGCAGGAGAGGAAAGUGGAAUUCCAUGUGUAGCGGUGAAAUGCGCAGAGAUAUGGAGGAACACCAGUGGCGAAGGCGACUUUCUGGUCUGUAACUGACGCUGAUGUGCGAAAGCGUGGGGAUCAAACAGG